AACGAACGCUGGCGGCAGGCCUAACACAUGCAAGUCGAGCGAGGACUUCGGUCCUACCGGCGGCCGGGGGGGUAACGCGGGGGAACGUGCCCUUUGCUUCGGAAUAGCUCUCUGAAACGGGGGAUAAUAACGGAUGAGCCCCCAGGGGGAACGAUUUACCGGCGCAGGAUCGGGCCGCGUUAGAUUAGGUCGUUGGGGGGGUAAUCGCCUGCCAAGCCGGCGGUCCGUAGCUGGUUUGAGAGGAUGAUCAGCCAGACUGGGACGGAGACACGGCCCAGACUCCUACAGGAGGCAGCAGUGGGGAAUCUUAGAGACUGGGAGAUACGCUGAUCAAGCCACGCCGGGUGAGCGAUGAAGGCCUCAGGGCUGUAAAGCUGUUUCAGCUGGGAAGAUAAUGACGGUACCCGCAGAAGAAGCCCCGGCUAACUCCGUG
rnacentral:rRNA from 1 species